AGCAGCCGCGGUAAUUCCAGCUCCAAUAGCGUAUAUUAAAGUUGUUGCAGUUAAAAGCUCGUAGUUGAAUUUCGGGAUCAUCAGGUUGGUCGUGCCUUUGGUAUGUACUGAUUUCGAUGGUUCCUCCUUCUUGAAGAUCCGUAAUGCCAUUAAUUUGGUGUUGCGGGGAAUCAGGACUGUUAACUUUGAAAAAUUGAGUGUUUAAAGCAGGCAAUCGCUUGAAUACAUUAGCAUGGAAUAAUGAAAUAGGACGUUUGAUCCUAUUUUGUUGGUUUCUAGGAUUGACGUAAUGAUUAAUAGGGAUAGUUGGGGGCAUUAGUAUUCAAUUGUCAGAGGUGAAAUUCUUGGAUUUAUUGAAGACU
rnacentral:rRNA from 1 species